GGUAGAUAUAGUUUAAAGGUAAAACAUAUGUUUGUGGUACAUACUAUCAGAGUUCAAUUCUCUGUAUUUACC
rnacentral:tRNA from 1 species